UUUUUCAUCGUAUAAUGGCUAUUACCUCAGCCUUCCAAGCUGAUGAUGCGGGUUCGAUUCCCGCUGCCCGCUCCA
rnacentral:tRNA from 1 species